rnacentral:rRNA from 1 species
UGGGGAAUAUUGCACAAUGGGCGCAAGCCUGAUGCAGCCAUGCCGCGUGUAUGAAGAAGGCCUUCGGGUUGUAAAGUACUUUCAGCGGGGAGGAAGGCGAUAAGGUUAAUAACCUUGUCGAUUGACGUUACCCGCAGAAGAAGCACCGGCUAACUCCGUGCCAGCAGCCGCGGUAAUAUGGAGGGUGCAAGCGUUAAUCGGAAUUACUGGGCGUAAAGCGCACGCAGGCGGUCUGUCAAGUCGGAUGUGAAAUCCCCGGGCUCAACCUGGGAACUGCAUUCGAAACUGGCAGGCUAGAGUCUUGUAGAGGGGGGUAGAAUUCCAGGUGUAGCGGUGAAAUGCGUAGAGAUCUGGAGGAAUACCGGUGGCGAAGGCGGCCCCCUGGACAAAGACUGACGCUCAGGUGCGAAAGCGUGGGGAGCAAACA